UACGACUUUGCACAUUCGAGCCAAAAAUGACUGCUUUCAAGAAUAUGGCAUUGGUCCUGCUUUUGAUGACUAUGCUGUGCGGGACUGAGUGCAUGGAAAACAGCUAUCAUAGUCGUGUACACCUUCAUCAGCAAAACGGACCAAAUAUAGAUCGGGACGGACUUAAUCUGGAAGGAAAUGGGCGCCAUAUCGAUAGCGGUGGACUCUAUGCGCCAGGAGGUGAAGGAAAGAUAGAUAAUGGUGGUUUACAUCCUCCGAGUAUAGAUGGCGGUGGUCUUCCAUCCUGCGGACAAGAGUGCAACUAUAAAGAAGGUUCUGAACAUGAAGCAUGCCCUGAGGGUUGCAUUUGUACUCCGAAAACAAGUGGUGGAAACAACGACAGAACACGUGCAAUGGGUAUAUGCGUUGUGGAGCCUUAAUAUUGCUUUUCUGUGCUUU